CGGGAGACUGGCGUCGGACGAGUCCCUCGCCAACCCGGUCAGGUCCGGAAGGAAGCAGCCGCAACGAGUUACGGCUCGGGUCGUUCGUCCAGUCUCCCACCCU
rnacentral:SRP_RNA from 1 species